rnacentral:rRNA from 1 species
UUAAAUUGAAGAGUUUGAUCAUGGCUCAGAUUGAACGCUGGCGGCAGGCCUAACACAUGCAAGUCGAGCGGUAGCACAGAGAGCUUGCUCUCGGGUGACGAGCGGCGGACGGGUGAGUAAUGUCUGGGAAACUGCCUGAUGGAGGGGGAUAACUACUGGAAACGGUAGCUAAUACCGCAUAACGUCGCAAGACCAAAGUGGGGGACCUUCGGGCCUCAUGCCAUCAGAUGUGCCCAGAUGGGAUUAGCUAGUAGGUGGGGUAACGGCUCACCUAGGCGACGAUCCCUAGCUGGUCUGAGAGGAUGACCAGCCACACUGGAACUGAGACACGGUCCAGACUCCUACGGGAGGCAGCAGUGGGGAAUAUUGCACAAUGGGCGCAAGCCUGAUGCAGCCAUGCCGCGUGUGUGAAGAAGGCCUUCGGGUUGUAAAGCACUUUCAGCGGGGAGGAAGGCGAUAAGGUUAAUAACCUUGUCGAUUGACGUUACCCGCAGAAGAAGCACCGGCUAACUCCGUGCCAGCAGCCGCGGUAAUACGGAGGGUGCAAGCGUUAAUCGGAAUUACUGGGCGUAAAGCGCACGCAGGCGGUCUGUCAAGUCGGAUGUGAAAUCCCCGGGCUCAACCUGGGAACUGCAUUCGAAACUGGCAGGCUAGAGUCUUGUAGAGGGGGGUAGAAUUCCAGGUGUAGCGGUGAAAUGCGUAGAGAUCUGGAGGAAUACCGGUGGCGAAGGCGGCCCCCUGGACAAAGACUGACGCUCAGGUGCGAAAGCGUGGGGAGCAAACAGGAUUAGAUACCCUGGUAGUCCACGCCGUAAACGAUGUCGAUUUGGAGGUUGUGCCCUUGAGGCGUGGCUUCCGGAGCUAACGCGUUAAAUCGACCGCCUGGGGAGUACGGCCGCAAGGUUAAAACUCAAAUGAAUUGACGGGGGCCCGCACAAGCGGUGGAGCAUGUGGUUUAAUUCGAUGCAACGCGAAGAACCUUACCUGGUCUUGACAUCCACAGAACUUAGCAGAGAUGCUUUGGUGCCUUCGGGAACUGUGAGACAGGUGCUGCAUGGCUGUCGUCAGCUCGUGUUGUGAAAUGUUGGGUUAAGUCCCGCAACGAGCGCAACCCUUAUCCUUUGUUGCCAGCGGUCCGGCCGGGAACUCAAAGGAGACUGCCAGUGAUAAACUGGAGGAAGGUGGGGAUGACGUCAAGUCAUCAUGGCCCUUACGACCAGGGCUACACACGUGCUACAAUGGCAUAUACAAAGAGAAGCGACCUCGCGAGAGCAAGCGGACCUCAUAAAGUAUGUCGUAGUCCGGAUUGGAGUCUGCAACUCGACUCCAUGAAGUCGGAAUCGCUAGUAAUCGUAGAUCAGAAUGCUACGGUGAAUACGUUCCCGGGCCUUGUACACACCGCCCGUCACACCAUGGGAGUGGGUUGCAAAAGAAGUAGGUAGCUUAACCUUCGGGAGGGCGCUUACCACUUUGUGAUUCAUGACUGGGGUGAAGUCGUAACAAGGUAACCGUAGGGGAACCUGCGGUUGGAUCACCUCCUUACC